GACGAACGCUGGCGGCGUGCUUAACACAUGCAAGUCGAACGAUGAAGCCGGAGCUUGCUCCGGUGGAUUAGUGGCGAACGGGUAAGUAACACGUGAGCAAUCUGCCCUUGACUCUGGGAUAACUGCGGGAAACUGUAGCUAAUACCGGAUACGACACCUUGGGGCAUCCCAGGGUGUGGAAAGAAUUUCGGUCAAGGAUGAGCUCGCGGCCUAUCAGCUAGUUGGUGAGGUAAUGGCUCACCAAGGCGACGACGGGUAGCCGGCCUGAGAGGGUGAACGGCCACACUGGAACUGAGACACGGUCCAGACUCCUACGGGAGGCAGCAGUGGGGAAUAUUGAACAAUGGGCGAAAGCCUGAUGCAGCAACGCCGCGUGAGGGAUGAAGGCCUUCGGGUUGUAAACCUCUUUUAGCAGGGAAGAAGCGAAAGUGACGGUACCUGCAGAAAAAGCACCGGCUAACUACGUGCCAGCAGCCGCGGUAA
rnacentral:rRNA from 1 species